AUCCCUCUUUGCUCUCCUUCUCUCUAGACGGGUCGUUCGUUUCGCCGCGCCGACAACAAGAUCGAACGUAACACACGCGGUUUAACCACCGUACACACUUCGCGACGGAGUUGGCGAAAGAUGAUCGCGAGGAGGUUAUUUUUCGUUUCCCUCCGACGAGAUUGCGCGUACGUGCGCGUCACGCGAAGAACACCGUCGUUGUCGUUGAACCUGAUCGUCUACUUCGUGCGAGGCAAGCCGCCAUUUUCCUACUGUGCUGAUAGGCCCGGCCUAUUAUCCCUCUUGGCCAACAGAAAGAGAGGACACGCGUGCGACGAGGAAAAAAAUCAUCGGCGCACCGAACGAUUCACUCUCUAACUCUCUACCGUGUGCUGCUAUGUACUACUGCUGGCACCUCGACGAAUGGCUCGCGCGAAUCACAUGACGCCGACACUUCGGCAUCGUCGUUAUCGGUCGUCGUCUGCCACGCUUCGAUAUUCGGUAUUCGAUACCAAAAUCACUGUCGGCAUACACCACUGUCACGAGGAACACUCGCGAGCACUCGCGAGCUUUCGUAGAGAACGCAGAGCCAGCAACUCGUGCUGUUUGCUACUGCCGCCGCUACUACCGUCGCUGUCACCACCGUCACCACCACCGUCACCACCGUCCACAACUGUCCACAACCGUCCGCAACCGUCCGCAACCGUCCGCAACCGUUCACCACCGACACAGUCUACAGUUACGAUCGUCUACAGUCUACCGUCUCCGGUCUUCGCCGCUGCUGCCUCUGCCUCUGCUUCUGCGGCUGCGGCAACUGUCCCCCAAAAAGAAAGGCCGGGGGAAGCCGGUUAAGGGUUAAAUAUUUCCCUUCGUAUACGAAAUGCUGGUUAUCCGACGACUGGCUGCGCGACGACUGCACGAUGCCUGAGUGCUCAUUAAAGAAAAUCACCUUGGGAUCGUAUAUGUGAAGCAUGGCACCCUCGUCGAGCAGGGUCUUGGCGACAUGAAUGGCCGGUGACUCACGCGUGUCGCCGGUGUUCUUCUUGAAGGCAAACCCUAGCAUAGAGAUCCGUUUGUCCGUAACGGUGUUGAACAGCGAUUCGAUCACUUUCGCGGAGAACCUUGACUUCUGGUAUUCAUUCAUGUCUAUGACCUGUUGCCAGUAGGCGGCCACCUCGGGCAGAUUCAGGCACUCGCAUAUGUACACCAGAUUGAGUAUAUCCUUCUGGAAGCAGGAGCCGCCGAAUCCCACGGACGCAUGAAGGAACUUCGAUCCUAUUCGGGAGUCAAGGCCAACCGCCCGUGCCACCUCCGAGACAUCAGCGCCGGUCGCCUCGCACACAGCCGACAGCGAAUUUAUGCUGGAUAUGCGCUGCGCCAAAAAGGCAUUGGCGGCCUAAAAUCAGUAAUUAAAUUCUCACCUAAUUGCGCAAGACCGUCUGGCGUUAACGCGUGGAAAAUUAGCAAACAUUGGCUCGAAGAUAAUAUGCCACGGAACGUUGCGAAACGCGUUCGAAAUUUGGGACGAACAUUCGGCAGACGAUUCUCUACAUGCAUACGUAUAAUCGAUAUGGGGGCUAGCUAAUUAAUUUUGUUCGCUACCGAUCUACGCACCUGUGCCUGCCAUAUUCUCGGUGCGUCUAUUUUCAUAACCAAAAUCUAAUCCAAGGGCCGAUUCGAUUGUUCGCAAAAUAUACAAAUAUGUAUCGCGUAUUUUCGGAAAACAAGCUCGCUCACCAGCUUCGAUAGCUCCGAGCUCCACGUAUUCGUCGUAAGGAUGUUUUUCCGUGGGAUCCAGUGCUCGUACACCUUGCACAACUCCUCCAUGGCCGCGUGACCUUCGAUCGAGUCCUCGCCGCCGAUCAAAACCCGAUCCGCGUUCACCAGGUCCUCGAUCGCCGUCCCUUCCGCCAGGAACUCCGGAUUCGAUAGAAUCUGAAAACAGGGAGCACGAUGUUUUUUCUGUCUCCGUUGCAUAGGUCGUCGCAGCGACAUAUCCCACUUGGCACGGGCGGAUGAUAUCAAGCGACGCGUGAUAAAUGUAAAAACGCGGCCGGAAAGAGAAAAAAGGGUCAUGAUCGCGCGGCCCCGGUACCGGCCCCGGCCUCGGGACAGCGGAGACGCCUCGGAUGACCUGUUAAUUCAACAGGUGCGAACUGGAGCCCUUGCUAAACCGAGUACCGGGAACCCGAGCAAUCGAAGUACAUACUCGUUGCAAACCGAACUCUCCGCUCCAACAGAUUCUAGGGUAUCCAAACUUGGACGUGCGAACAUAUUCAGACAUUCGGAUUUAAAUCGAGUAAUUGUUAGACACUCUGUGCGGAUUUUAUACAUUUAUGUCGGAAAUUGGGUGGAUGCUACUUCAAAACACUACCCUGUAACAGCUUAAACUGUAAAGUGGAAAUUUUUUUUUUUGUUUUGUGUAUGAAUCAACGCAGAAGGAAGUGUUACAGAUACCAAUGACGUCGAAUGAUAUCGUAUCAACUUUGUUCCAAAUUGCUUGGAUCUCGUUUAACGUUGCAAAGAAAAUAUUGGCGAAGCUUUUAUCGCUCCGAUAGGUGAGCCGUAGACACGUGUAGAAAAUUAAAGAUCGGCUUUCGAGAUAUCGUAGAAGUAGACAGAAAACUCGCUGUUCUUGUUUUCGUAGUUAGGUCUUUUAAUUAGGAAUAAGCUGUUAGGAAACUGCCUUAUGUUAACACAAAUUUUCUCCCGGAUUUCGAAAUUUUGUAAGGUCAUUUUGGAGUUUCCUAUGAUCGUACGACUCUAAAACCGUCCACAUUAUUAUAGCAUCAUUAUGUACCUUCCCUAGUCGGUUAAUUGCUCGACCGUUUCUCGGUUACCGGCGAAUGGCAGUCGAUUUAGCCUUAUAACGUCCAACCGUUUAUCGGCGAAACCAUCGAAUUAAAUAUUCGAAUAUCUAGCAUCAAUGGUAAUAAAAUACUUUAUCGUUUAAAUGUACAGAUCGAUCGAUUUCACUUAAAUGUACGUAAUAAAUUUUUGAAAUAUACCACGUCACACCAUAUUAGCAUAAUUGCUACUUAUUAAAUAAUAAGUUAAACUACUUGCGAUUUUAAGUACUCCCCCGAUGUAAUGUUCUAAUGAACGGGUUGUGUGUAUGAUAAGAACGGAAGGUUUAGUCAAUUAUAUUCAAGUUUCGUGUAAACUACGUUACGGUAUACAACGUUUAAUAUGAGAUAAAAUUCUCUUUGUUAUUUACUCUAAUUAGAUUCGUUUAAACGACGCGUAUAAAAUAUUAAAAAAGAAAUACUUAUUUUUCUAAUGUUUGCUCCUACUUAGAAUUUUGCACGCGAUUCAAUAAUAAAUGCAAUAUUUUCGUUC